GUCAACCCUGUCCUCCCUGCGCGGAUCGCAACCACAUCGCACGAAAAGCUCGCCGGCAGACUCAGAUUUCGUGGAACCGCCUCGCACCUCCACGCUUUAAGGCCUCAUCAUCCGAAGCACUUGACCAUCUCCCGUCACCUAGCACUCAAAAGAACCUGGCCGCCAUCACCUGAGGGAGCUCGAGAAGGGGGGAGCCGAGGGCCGCGGACACAAGCUUCGCCGCCAGGACCACCGACCACCCCUGCGCGACGAGCAAGCCACUGAGGACCCAGGUGUUCAGUAGGUGUAGACUGCUAAGCAGGAGCUCGUUGAAGGUGAAGAGCAGGUGGUCCAAGAGGAGCCCUACAACGAGG